GUGAAUCAUCAAAUUUUUGAACGCAAAUUGCACUCUCUGGUAUUCCGGAGAGUAUGCGUGUUUGAGGGUCAGUAUAAAUAAAAAUCGUGGUGGUUGCUGCCUUUCGUGGUGACGUAUCGUCUUUGGGUCGUCUUGGCUUCAGCUAAGUUACCUAAAAUUUUGCAUGAUUUUCGAAGGUAUUCAAAUAUUUUUUCGUACAUUUGCGAUAUU
rnacentral:misc_RNA from 1 species